rnacentral:rRNA from 1 species
CGCUGGCGGCGUGCUUAACACAUGCAAGUCGAACGGGAUCCAUCAGGCUUUGCUUGGUGGUGAGAGUGGCGAACGGGUGAGUAAUGCGUGACCGACCUGCCCCAUACACCGGAAUAGCUCCUGGAAACGGGUGGUAAUGCCGGAUGCUCCGACUCCUCGCAUGGGGUGUCGGGAAAGAUUUCAUCGGUAUGGGAUGGGGUCGCGUCCUAUCAGGUAGUCGGCGGGGUAACGGCCCACCGAGCCUACGACGGGUAGCCGGCCUGAGAGGGCGACCGGCCACAUUGGGACUGAGAUACGGCCCAGACUCCUACGGGAGGCAGCAGUGGGGAAUAUUGCACAAUGGGCGCAAGCCUGAUGCAGCGACGCCGCGUGCGGGAUGACGGCCUUCGGGUUGUAAACCGCUUUUGAUCGGGAGCAAGCCUUCGGGUGAGUGUACCUUUCGAAUAACACCGGCUAACUACGUGCCAGCAGCCGCGG